UACUAGAGUAGCACUCGCAUAUCAAUAAGCGGAGGAAAAGAAACUAACAAGGAUUCCCCUAGUAACGGCGAGUGAAGCGGGAAGAGCUCAAAUUUGAAAUCUUAAAGGGUUUCCCUUUACGAAUUGUAGUUUAAAGAAGUGUUUUCUGUUGAGGUUUUGGUAAAAGUUCUUUGGAAUAGGACAUCAUAGAGGGUGAGAAUCCCGUAUUUGACCUUUACUUUCAACUUUGUGAUACACUUUCAAAGAGUCGGAUUGUUUGGGAAUGCAGUCCAAAAUGGGUGGUAAAUUUCAUCUAAAGCUAAAUAUUGGCGAGAGACCGAUAGCGAACAAGUACCGUGAGGGAAAGAUGAAAAGAACUUUGAAAAGAGAGUUAAACAGUACGUGAAAUUGUCAAAAGGGAAGCGUUUGACACCAGUGUUGUUUUUCUGAAAAUCAAUUAAAGAACUGUUUAUGCUAAGCUGUUUAGACUUUAUCAGCUAUCUGUUUAGUUUUGAGCUUUUCUUUAAUGCACUUUUCAGUUAACAAGUCAACAUCAAUUUCUUUUGCUGUAAAAAAGCUUGAGGAAGGUGGCUUGAGAUUCGUCUUAAGUGUUUAUAGCCUCUUGCCUAUACAGUCGGAGAGAUUGAGGUCUGCAGCGUAGAUCCUUCGGGGCUAAAUGCAUUUGUGCUAAGUUAUAGCAUUUUAUAGACAACUUGUUGACUAUGAUUUGUCUUGUAGCUUACUCGCUUAUGUUAUUUUACCUACGCUUAGGAUGUUGAUCUACAGAGCGAGAGU
rnacentral:rRNA from 1 species